AGAAGGCGCCCACCCCCGCAAAGGGAAAGCCGCAAGGGCAAGACCUCGGGGCGCCUGGGGCCCCCCUCUGGCGCUAUACCUCCGUGCCAACUCGGGGUAGGAGAGCGGGGCGGAGCGCAGCCUGGGUCACUCUGGUUCAGAGAAGCGGACGAGCCUCCCAGACAGCUCCUGCAUCCGUCUGUGAUAGCGAGGGCUUGGGGGAAGACACGAAGGCAGGAGAGGCUUACAUCCUCUGGAUUUCCCCGUCUUAUCCCAGAAGACAAAGCCAGGUGAGGGCUGGAAGCGGGCUAGGGGGAUCAAGCUGCCUCCCUCCCUUGUGUGCCAGGGGUGGUCCCCAGAAGGAGCUGAUCUGAACAGGCCGGAGAGUAGGACCGGCCGUCACACCCCCACACCUCCAGCCUCGGCCCCACUCCUUGGGCUCUUAAGGUCCUGCCUCAAGAACCACUUCCUGAGUCUUAGUGUAUGUGUGUACACAAAGAAUGAAAGAAGUCUCUAGAGCUAAAGGAAGGAGAUCCGGGCUGGGCUGAGAAGCAUCUUCCAGGAUCACGGCCUUCCCGCGGGACACACCAAGCCCAUUCCGGAUCUUGCUCUUCCUGACCAUGGCUGGCAGGCUGUGGAGGAGGAGCGGAGAGCAGAAGAAAGGAGUAUUCAUCAGGUUCCUUAUUGUGCUGCCACUAGAUGCCAGGCAUGUGCUAGGCUUGGGGGCUGCAAGGAGAGGAAGACAGCGGCCCUGCCCUCUGCUAGCAGGCAGAACCGAGUUCUGGCCACACUGUGAAGAAAGGCAGAAGCCUGCGGUGGCAGCUGGUUAAGCUCAGAGGGAGGGAAAGGGAGAGGAGAAUGGAUUUCACGGAGCAGAAGGAUGUGCUCAAGGUGACCUUGGAGAAUAAAGGGGAGAGCUCCAGGGACAGAGAAGCAGUCGACUGUGGAAAAAAAAGGAGCAUUUUGUAAAGUACAUGGCAGGUUGGGGUUGGCUGGCUCAAAGGGCUUGGGACGGAUGUGGUGAGAUGGGCUGAAGGUGGUCUGAAGAUCAAGAUUGAGAGACUAGAUACAUAACAACCAACUGCAAUGUUUGGUCCUUCAUUGAAUGGUUGAACAAACCAGCUGUGAAAGACAUUUUGGGACAUACAGACAUGGACUGAGAAUUAGACAUAAGAAAAUUAUUUUGUUAACUGUUAUCAUGGUUAACAAAACGGUCAUAUAAUAUGAUUAUGUAGAGAAGUUACUCUAGUUUUUCCUCUUUUUUUUUCUUUAUUCUCCUAUCAGCCAAUGCAUUUGUUACAGGAAAGGGGUCCCAAUCCAGACCACAAGAGAGGGUUCUUGGAUCUCAUGCAAGAAAGAUUCAGGGCGAGUCGCAGUGCAAAGUAUAAGCAAGUUUAUUAAGAAAGUAAAGUGGUGAAACAACAGCUGCUCCAUAGACAGAGUAGGAUGUUCCCCAAAGUAAGAGGAGGGGCUAGGCGCAGUGGCUCACCACACCUGUAAUCCCAGCAUUUUGGGAGGCCUAGGCAGGUGGAUCACCUGAGGUCAGGAGUUCGAGACCAGCCUGGCCAACACGGUGAAACCCCGUCUCUACUAAAAAUACAAAAAGUAGCUGGGCACAAUGAUGUGUGCCUGUAGUCCCAGCUACUCAGGAGGCUGAGGCAGGAGAAUCACUUGAACCCAGGAGGCAGAGGUUGCAGUGAGCAGAGAUCGUGUUGCUG
rnacentral:lncRNA from 10 species